CGCCUGCCUCUAAACACAAGCACAGAGGGGAGAGCUUCAGGUGGAUGCUGCAUACCUGCUUCAUAACUACAUCAGGUCAUGUGGUCUCUACUGUUAUCAGUUCAGCUCCUGGCUCUGUGGCCUGGAGCAGAGGGGACAA